AACGAACGCUGGCGGCAUGCCUAACACAUGCAAGUCGAACGAGACCUUCGGGUCUAGUGGCGUACGGGUGCGUAACGCGUGGGAACCUGCCCUUGGGUUCGGAAUAACUCAGAGAAAUUUGAGCUAAUACCGGAUGAUGUCUUGUGCCCAACGAUUUAUCGCCUUUAGAUGGGCCCGCGUUGGAUUAGCUUGUUGGUGGGGUAAAGGCCUACCAAGGCGACGAUCCAUAGCUGGUCUGAGAGGAUGAUCAGCCACACUGGGACUGAGACACGGCCCAGACUCAUACGGGAGGCGGCAGUGGGGAAUAUUGGACCAUCGGCGAAAGGCUGAGCGAGCGAUGCCGCGUGAGUGAUGAAGGCCUUGGGGUUGUAAAGCUCUUUUAGCCGAGAUGGUAAUGACAGUAUCGGGAGAAGAAGCUCCGGCUAACUCCGUG
rnacentral:rRNA from 1 species